rnacentral:rRNA from 1 species
AUUGAACGCUGGCGGCAGGCUUAACACAUGCAAGUCGAGCGAGCGGCGGACGGGCGACCAAUGCCUGGGAAACUGCCUGAUGGAGGGCGAUAAGUACUGGAAACUGUAGCUAAUACCGCAUAGCUCCAGAUGUGUCCAGGUGGGAAUAGCUAGUAGGUGGGGUAAUGGCUCACCUCGGCGACGACCCCUAGUUGGUCUGAGAGGAUGACCAGCCACACUGGAACUGAGACACGGUCCAGAAUCCGACGGGAGGCAGCAGUGGGGAAUAUUGCACAAUGGGCGCAAGCCUGAUGCAGCCAUGCCGCGUGUGUGAAGAAGGCCUUCGGGGUGUAAAGCACUUUAAGUGAGGAGGCGUUACUCGCAGAAGAAGCACCGGCUAACUCCGUGCCAGCAGCCGCGGUAAUUC